CCUACGGGAGGCAGCAGUGAGGAAUAUUGGUCAAUGGACGAGAGUCUGAACCAGCCAAGUAGCGUGAAGGAUGACUGCCCUAUGGGUUGUAAACUUCUUUUAUAUGGGAAUAAAAUGUUCCACGUGUGGGAUUUUGUAUGUACCAUAUGAAUAAGGAUCGGCUAACUCCGUGCCAGCAGCCGCGGUAAUACGGAGGAUCCGAGCGUUAUCCGGAUUUAUUGGGUUUAAAGGGAGCGUAGGUGGAUUGUUAAGUCAGUUGUGAAAGUUUGCGGCUCAACCGUAAAAUUGCAGUUGAAACUGGCAGUCGUGAGUACAGUAGAGGUGGGCGGAAUUCGUGGUGUAGCGGUGAAAUGCUUAGAUAUCACGAAGAACUCUGAUUGCGAAGGCAGCUCACUGGACUGCAACUGACACUGAGGCUCGAAAGUGUGGGUAUCAAACAGGAUUAGAUACCCCUGUAGUC
rnacentral:rRNA from 1 species